rnacentral:rRNA from 1 species
UAAGUCAGGCAACGAGCGAGACCCACGCCGACAAUUGCCAGCAGCAUCUCCGGAUGGCUGGGGACAUUGUCGGGACCGCCUCUGCUAAAGGGGAGGAAGGAAUGGGCAACGGUAGGUCAGCAUGCCCCGAAUUAUCCGGGCUACACGCGGGCUACAAUGGACGGGACAAUGGGUAACAACACCGAAAGGUGCAGUCAAUCUCCGAACCCCGCCCUUAGUUAGGAUUGCGGGUUGCAACUCACCCGCAUGAAUCUGGAAUCUGUAGUAAUCGCGUUUCACUAUAGCGCGGUGAAUACGUCCCUGCUCCUUGCACACACCGCCCGUCAAACCAUCCUAGUGGGGUUUGGAUGAGUCCCUGCUCCUUGCACAA